CAGCCGCCGCGGUAAUACGUAGGGUGCAAGCGUUAAUCGGAAUUACUGGGCGUAAAGCGUGCGCAGGCGGUUAUAUAAGUCAGAUGUGAAAUCCCCGGGCUCAACCUGGGAACUGCAUUUGAGACUGUAUGGCUAGAGUGUGUCAGAGGGGGGUAGAAUUCCACGUGUAGCAGUGAAAUGCGUAGAUAUGUGGAGGAAUACCGAUGGCGAAGGCAGCCCCCUGGGCCAAUACUGACGCUCAUGCACGAAAGCGUGGGGAGCAAACAGGAUUAGAUACCCCUGUAGUCCCUGUCUCUUAUAC
rnacentral:rRNA from 1 species